GUGACCGUACUCUACAGGAUCUGUAUGCAGUAUGUUUCAAUUCUACGUUUUCUAAACUAGAUACAAUCCCAAAGCUAGUCGAUGAUUUUUAGUAGACCUUCUUUUGAGUGAAGUGUGCCAAUCAUUGCUCUCUGAGCAGUUUUUGUCAGUUGAUGAUCUCGUCUGUCUUUAUUCCAAGGACAUGACAAGGAAGGAGCUACAGGUCUGAUAGCU
rfam:Mucor circinelloides f. circinelloides 1006PhL unplaced genomic scaffold supercont1.21, whole genome shotgun sequence.